UCCGAGUUGUCCCCGGCAGUCCUUUUAGAGUCCCCGGCAUACCCGCUGGCAACUAAAAGCAGGGGUUGCGCUCGUUGCGGCACUUAAGCCAACAUCUCACGACACGAGCUGACGACAACCAUGCACCACCUGUACACCGCCCUUGCGGACCCCAUAUCUCUAUGAGUUUUCGGUGUAUGUCAAGCCUUGGUAAGGUUCUUCGCGUUGCAUCGAAUUAAACCACAUGCUCCGCUGCUUGUGCGGGCCCCCGUCAAUUCCUUUGAGUUUUAAUCUUGCGACCGUACUCCCCAGGCGGGAAGCUUAAUGCGUUGGCUGCGCCACUGAGAGGUAAACCUCCCAACGGCUAGCUUCCAUAGUUUACGGCGUGGACUAC
rnacentral:misc_RNA from 1 species